rnacentral:rRNA from 1 species
UACAGAGGGGGCGAGCGUUGUUCGGAAUUACUGGGCGUAAAGGGCGCGUAGGCGGCCUUCUAAGUCGAACGUGAAAUCUCCGGGCUCAACCCGGAAACUGCCAUUGAUACUAUUAGUCUUGAAUUUUGUUGAGGUAGGCGGAAUAAGUCAUGUAGCGGUGAAAUGCAUAGAUAUGACUUAGAACACCAAUUGCGAAGGCAGCUUACUAAGCAAAUAUUGACGCUGAGGCACGAAAGCGUGGGGAUCAAACAGG